rnacentral:rRNA from 1 species
ACUCAAAUGAAUAGACGGGGGACCGCACAAGCAGUGGAGCAUGUGGUUUAAUUCGACGGUACGCGAAGAACCUUACCCACUCUUGACAUCCCAGGAACCCCCUGGAGACAGGGGGGUGCCCGCGAGGGAGCCUGGAGACAGGUGUUGCAUGGCCGUCGUCAGCUCGUGUCGUGAGAUGUUGGGUUAAGUCCCGCAACGAGCGCAACCCUUAUUGCCUGUUGAAAUUCUCAGGCGAGACUGCCGGUGACAAACCGGAGGAAGGUGGGGAUGACGUCAGGUCAGCAUGGCCCUUAUGAGUGGGGCUACACACGUGCUACAAUGGCCGCCACAACGAGUUGCGAAGCAGCGAUGCUUAGCUAAUCUCCCAAAAGCGGUCUCAGUUCGGAUUGGAGGCUGCAACUCGCCUCCAUGAAGUCGGAAUUGCUAGUAACCGUGGGUCAGCAUACCGCGGUGAAUACGUUCCCGGUCCUUGUACACACCGCCCGU